rnacentral:lncRNA from 1 species
AACAGAACAGCUUCUAUAAUGUCAAAGUCACCUACUACCCAGCCAGACAGCAACAUUCUCCUCUUUCUUUCUCUGUCAUGAAGGUGUGGCGGGGCACCUUGGCCCGCAUGCGGUACAGGAGGACCAAGGCGGCUCUGACGAUAAUCAGGUACUACCGGCGUUACAAAGUCAAGUCCUACAUCCACGAGGUGGCCAAGCGCUUCCAGGGCGUCAAGACCAUGAGAGACUACGGGAAGCACGUGAAGUGGCCGGCCCCUCCUAAAGUUCUGCGCCGAUUUGAGGAAUCCCUCCAGGCCAUUUUUAAUAGGUAAGAG